CCCGCGGAGCCGGGGCCACGUCCCGGUGGAGUCCCCGUGGGACCGGCCCCGUUCGCACAAAGCGCCGCAGUUUGGCCAAGAAGGGAGGGAGCCGGCCACGAAAUAAAUAAAUAAAAACAGAGUCGGGUCUACGUAACGCCCUGUCGAAAGCGGACGCCAUAUUUUUUUGUGGCUUAUGUCGACAUAGGGAAACGUAGACAUGUUUUUCCUCCUCCUCCUCCUCCUCGGUCUGCCUCCCAUUUAUCCAAACUUGUAAUCAAAACUCUUUAAAAAAAAAUCUCCCCCCGCCUCUGGAUCCUCUGAUUUCCUCCCACCCGCAAAAAAGAGCCUGCACCCCACCCCCCCUUCCGCGCCCCCCUUCCAAUCACAAACCCGGCCAAGUCCCAUUAACAACACAUUUUCGGGAGCCGCGGCGGCGGCGGCGGCGGUGGGAAAGUUGGGCUGGAGUGGCCGGUGCCCGGCGUGCGGGGCUCGGGGCCGGCCGCGCCGGGCGGGGGGUGCUCCGCGCCGGGGCGAAGUUUCUUACCUGCGCCGGGGCUGGGAACGCGGGGACCCGGGCUGGGAACGUGGAGACGCGGCACGGGCGUUCCAAAAUGGAACUCUGCUGGCUCCCCCCACCCACUCCCCACUCCUCACCGGGCGCCCGGCUCGGGCUCCGUGGGAAAGAGGGGGAAAGCCAGCCUGCCAGACAGACAGACAGAAGAAGCCCCCGUACGGAGAACAGUGGCCAAAAUUUUUAAAAGAAAAAAAAAAAAAGAAGGAAAAAAAAAGGGGAAAAAAAUGUCUCGAUCAGUGGGGAAUCUACGCCAAAACCCACAUGAUCUGUAACGUCAGCAUGCGUAUUUGCAUACGAUACCACCACCCGAGCUGCCACCCGGGCUCGGGUUCCGCAGAAAGUUACAAAGUGAAAUUCAGCCCCCUCCGGAGACGCCGGCGAAAUGUCAUUUUCAGCGUUAUAUCACCUGUUACCAUUGCCGCUGGUACCACUACCAUCUCCACCAUCCUCACCUCCAUCGCCUCCACCACUGCUGCGGCCACCAUCACCAGCACCACCAUCACCACCAUUCUUAUCGUUGUCAUCUUUAUCUCCAUCGCACAAGCCAGUUUCACAUAG
rnacentral:lncRNA from 1 species